rnacentral:sRNA from 1 species
GCCAGGUGUGAUAGUACACACCUCUAAUCCCAGCAACUCAGGAGGCUGAGGCAGGAGAAUCCCAAGUUUGAGGCCAGCCUCAGUAACUUUGUGAGACCCUCUCUCAA